UACGUAGGGUGCAAGCGUUGUCCGGAAUUAUUGGGCGUAAAGAGCUCGUAGGCGGUUCGUCGCGUCGGCUGUGAAAUCCCGAGGCUCAACCUCGGGUCUGCAGUCGAUACGGGCGGACUGGAGUUCGGCAGGGGAGACUGGAAUUCCUGGUGUAGCGGUGAAAUGCGCAGAUAUCAGGAGGAACACCGGUGGCGAAGGCGGCAUCCUGGACCAACACUGACGCUGAGGAGCGAAAGCCAGGGGAGGCAAA
rnacentral:rRNA from 1 species